UGUUGGGAGGACUAGUGGUUAGGCCACAGCGCUCUCAGCACUGCAGCCCGGGUUUGAUUCCCUGCCAGGGAA
rnacentral:tRNA from 1 species